rnacentral:lncRNA from 10 species
UGAGCUGAGCAGUCAUGUGAGCUUGGAAGAUGAUCCCUCUCCAGCUGAUCCUUCAGCUCAGGCCAUCAUCUACAUCUGGAUUCCUGACCCGGAGAAACUAUGAGUAAUGUGUGCUGCUUUUGAGCCACUAAGCUACAUGAAUUAAUGAAGGAUCAUUAUUAAGUUUUUAAUGGGUCAAGAGAAAGUUACCACUGAGGUCUUCUCUACCUGGGCAACAAUUGACUCCUAACAACCACUAUAAGCUUGGAAGAUGAUCCCUCCCCAGCUGAUCCUUCAGGUCAGAUUUUUCACAGAGCCAUAGAUAUCUUAUCAUCCUCUGUGGCUUGAAGACUAAUGGCAAUAAAACAUUUCUCAAUAAA